UUUUGAGGAAAUACACCACUUCGAACGAUAUAUUUUACGAGAAGCUUGAAGACAAUAGCAGAAGGUGUAAAAUGAAGUGCUGUUUCCUGACAUCCCCUACUAUGAAAAGGUGCCUUAAUGCUACCGUGCUAGACGGGAUGAAGUGUGAUGGAGGAAUGACAUGCAGAAGGG